GAGGAGGAGGAAGAAAAAACAAUAGCCAAACAAAAAGACUGACUUGCCAUCGUGCCAUCGCAGAUGUUUUCUACUUAGGAAGAGGUUGUUUGUUUUUUUUUUUUUCUUUUCUUUUUUUUUUAAAUAAAUAAAAAAGAAAAAAAAAAAAAAAAAGAAUGGGAAAAGAAGAGUAGGGAGAAAGGAAACUCACAUCUGGUGCUGGAUGGGGAGAGAGCAGCUCUUGGUGUUGCUGGUGAAGGUUGGGAGCCCACUGUGCAGCGGGACAGCGGAGCAGAGAUUCCUCUUUUCACCCCCUCACUGGGAUCUGGUCCUGGUUCUGGUUCUGGGUUCUGGUCCCAAGCAGAUAAAAGUGAGCAUGGCCAGGCUGGAGGACAUUGUAUGACCUGGUAUUGGCAUGGCAGUGGGCGUGCUGCCCAGCAGAGCCUGGCAUGGCAGGUGGCAGCAGGGACAUGAGGACAGUCAGGAGCAGAGGGACAGGGGGACACUUCCAUCUCCCCAGGUACUGACACCUGGGGUGAUUCUUCAUGCCUGGCUGGGGCUGAAGGUGGGAGGGCAUCAACGAUGCAAACUUUUGGGUUUUUUUUCUCUUUUCUCCCCUCCCACCCUCCUGUGCUGUUGACCAGAGGAGGUGAUGCAGCUGAGUUUGGGUCAGAGCCAUGCAGGAGAAGGUGGGAGCUGGCUCAUGGAGGGAAGGUUUGGGGAUGUCCCCAUCUCCCCAGGGUUGCUCUCAACCAGUUGGUUGUUUUUCUAUGGUGAUUGCAUCCCCUGAGCUCUGCAUCUGCUUCAGGGGUUGCACUUGGGGUGGUGGCCCAAGCUAAACGUGCCCCCCCUGUGGUCACUUGGAUGAGAGACAGGACAGGGGGGGUGGAUUUGCCUGAUUUACUUUGCAUAUGAACAUUUUCCUUUUUUUCUUUUUUUUUUUUUUCUUGUUUUUUCGCCUUUUUUGCCUUUUUUUUCUCUGUUGACUGUUCUGGUUUCAGCUGCUCCCUGCAGCCACUCCAGCCUGGAUCCCACGGGGAGGGGCUGGUUGGGGGAGAAGGAGCUUGUGCAAUGCAGGGCCAGGCUGCCAGUGGGCAGAGCUGGGAACAGAGGACAGGAAGGACACCAGGACAGGGGAUUGGCUUUACUUGGAGGCAUUUUUGCAGCCCACAAUAAGCCAUGGCAGCAUGACCAGUCCCCAGGCAAGGGCAGAGCCUGGGGAGAGCAUCCCCAGGGAGCAGGAGAGGACACGGUGGGGACAGAGGUUGGGUUUUGGGUUGGUGGCACUGAGCAGGGUGUCGGGGACAAUGAGCCCAAGGUGGGCAGGUUUAGCUGGGUUUUCCAUGCUGGAGGGGGAGGGAGUGAAGGGAGCAGGAGGUCCAGAGGGCAGGAGCCAUUAGAAGGGUGCUGGAUGGGGGGGACUUGGUGGUUCAGACUCGGUGCUGCUGGGGAUGGAGGAGCAGGAACAGCCCCAAAGCUCAGGGAAGGGCCUUGGUUGUCAUUAUGAUGCCAUGGGUGUCCUGUGAGGAAUGGGGACUUUGGGAAAAGCCACCUGUUCCUUUGGAACUGGACAGAACCACCCUGGUACUUCACCUGGUGAGGAUGUGGUGGAUGAGAUGGAUGGAGGUGGCCAAGAGGAUGAGAGGGGGUGGCCAAGAGGAUAGGUGGUGGUGGCCACAGGGAUGGUGGAAGUGGUCACAGGAAUGGAUGGAGGUGGCUGUGGCAAGCAGGGGGUGGCUGGAGCAGGGGGUAAAGAGAAGGAAAAAUCCAGGGCAAGGCACAAGCACCUCCCCCCAGGGCUGUGCCAAGUCCUCAUAUGUAGCAUUUUGUUUGUUUGUUUGUUGUUCUGUGGUUCUCUUUGCUUCCUUUUGUUGUGCUCAAACUGAUCUCAAACUCUGGGAAUGAAAACUCCAAAGUUUCCCACCAGGACCUGCAGGCAUUCCCUGCUCCUGCCCCACUGGGGACAAAGCUCUUGGUUAACUGGACUGGUUGGUGCCUCCAUCCUUCCAUCCCUGGAUCCCACCUGGGGUGCCCACCCACUGCCCCCACACAUGCUGGUCCCUGAUGGGCCCCGUUGGGAUUUAUCCACAAUCCCAGAGAUGCUUUCUCAAUGCCCCCCCAGCCCCCCCCAGCCCCUCCGUUCUCCUCCAGUGUAUUUAUGAAUUUCACAUGAAGUACUGUUUUAUUUUUUUAAAGACUUUGUAAAGCUUACCAGGGUUACAAUCACCAUUUUUAGAGCUGUGUCAAGUCCACAAUGUUAAAAAUCCUUUUUUUUUUUUAAUGUAUUAUAUUUUUUGUGUAAUUUUUUUUUUAAUCCAGCUGUGAUGGGUUGUAUCAUAUAUUUGUUGUGUUUACUGUAUCUGUCCAACCUCAAGGAAAGGAGACUGUGGAGCUCCACAAAAACUACAGUCUGCUGAAAAGAGAAAACCAUUAAAAUUAUUUGUUCAUG